CCCUACGGGAGGCAGCAGUAGGGAAUACUGCUCAAUGGGGGAAACCCUGAAGCAGCAACGCCGCGUGGGGGAUGAAGGUUUUAGGAUUGUAAACUCCUUUUGUUAGGGAAGAUUAUGACGGUAUCUAACGAAUAAGCACCGGCUAACUACGUGCCAGCAGCCGCGGUAAUACGGAGGGGGCAAGCGUUACUCGGAAUCACUGGGCGUAAAGAGUGCGUAGGCGGGUAAAUAAGUCAGAUGGGAAAUC
rnacentral:rRNA from 1 species